AGCAGCCGCGGUAAUUCCAGCUCCAAUAGCGUAUAUUAAAGUUGCUGCAGUUAAAAAGCUCGUAGUUGAAUUUCGGGACCAAUAUGUCGGUCGUGCCUCGGUACGUACUGGCAUCGUUGGUUUCUCCCUUCUGAAGAACCAUGAUGUCAUUUAUUUGGUGUAGUGGGGAAUCAGGACUGUUACUUUGAAAAAUUAGAGUGUUUAAAGCAGGCUCACGCUUGAAUACAUUAGCAUGGAAUAAUGAAAUAGGACGUUUGAUUCUAUUUUGUUGGUUUCUAGGAUCGACGUAAUGAUUAAUAGGGAUAGUUGGGGGCAUUAGUAUUCAAUUGUCAGAGGUGAAAUUCUUGGAUUUAUUGAAGACUAACUACUGCGAAAGCAUUUGCCAAGGAUGUUUUCAUUAAUCAAGAACGAAAGUUAGGGGAUCGAAGACGAUCAGGUACCGUCGUAGUCUUAACCAUAAACUAUGCCGACUAGGAAUCAGACGAUGUUAAUUUUUAAUGUACUCG
rnacentral:rRNA from 1 species